UGCUGCUCUGCUCUAUGCUUCUUAACUUCAGUAUUCAACAUACUUGACUGAAAAGUAGUUGCAAUAAUAUGAAGUUUUCUGGAAAGCCAUGAAUACCUUAUAAUUUGAAUGCUCCUGAAUGGCUACAAAUCAUGUAUUUAAAGAGCAUCUUGAGGUGUAGAAGCUGCGGAUAUGCAGUUCAGUCUGCGAGCCACCAGGCACCAAAGAUAUGCUGCCCAGUUAAAUCAGAUUUCUUUACAGUUGUGAUCCAAGCCAUGAAGUGGAAACUCAAAAUGUGAGUUGGAAUUUGACAUAGGUUUUCCAUUGUUUGGAACAGUCAGUCAGAAGAGUGAACACUCACUUGUGAGGGAAAGGGAAACAGAGUGUUCCUACAGCAGAUAAAGCAGAGAGGCAUAAAAAUUCCUCAGCCUGGCCUGCAGCUCAACUAAAGAAAAUAGAUGCAGUGCUAGAUACUUGGAAAUUUUCAAGGUACACAGGAUUAAAGGGAACACCUGAGUUCCACAUCUGUUUCUUUUCAAAUGGAAAAUGAAGUGGAGAAAGGUACCUUUUCCUCUGGACUUGCUGACUGCACAGCCUGGCUGAAUGCCCAUCAUACUGCCUUAUCUUGCUCUUGUGUCGGAGUUCAGGCGCUAACAGGUGGUACCAGAUCGAUGCUGAGCAGUACUUCUGGGGAGGUGACACUCCGCCCUAGUACUUUGCUUACUGAUUUUCAGUUUCUCACAUGAAGCAGAAGCUAAUCAUGAUGUCUCAUCAUCAAAGUUAUUUCUCACUGGACUACUCAGAGGUGUUGUUGUCAAACCUUCCCAGCUACAUUGGUUAAUCCAUUCCAAGUGCCAGUAGUUAUCCUGAGCUCCAUGCUGACUGCUAUGACAUGAAACUUCAGAAUCUGUGCACCUCUGAUGUCAUCAGGAGCCAUUGAUGUCAGAGCGGCUUCUGCGCAGCGUGAAGGUCCGUGUCAACUCAUCACAUUACCUCUGCAUGAAAG
rnacentral:lncRNA from 1 species